UUUUUUUCAUUUCUUUCUAUCUCAUCUGCCGAUCUAUUUUCUUCUCUCUAAACGCUCUAUACUCGUUCAAACCCUAGAAAAUUCUCAGCUCAAAUCGUUAGAUAUCAUGAGUUUUUCUAGAAAUUUCACUCCGAUUAAAUGAUUCGCUAUCAUCAAUUUCUUCUUUUCAACCGAUUAAUUUUUGUUUUUGAUGUUAUUUGUGUCAUUUUUUGAGAUUGUGUCUUCUGAGCUUUUUUAAAUCCUAUGAUCUUCAUUUUCGUUGUUUUAUCUUUGAAUGUUGCUCUAUUUUUGAAGUUUCUGAUUCUACAAAAAAAAAAUGGGUUGAAAUAUUUUUGAUCAAACAAAACCCUAGAUCUGCUGGCUUUUUGAGCAUUUGUAUGUGCUCAGCUAGAUCUUUUGUGUCUAUGUGUUCGUUUAGAUCUAUUGUGUCUAUGUGCUCAAUUUGUUAUUAUAAUUUUUUAAAAAAAAUACAAAACCCCCUUGAUCUAUUAUUUUCAAACUGUUCGGAUCGAAUAAAACCCUAGGUCUAUUAAGUUUUCAAAAUGUUCUUACAUUUUCGAUUUAACAGAAACCCUAGAUCUACUACGAUUGAAUUGUUCUUAUUUUUUAUCUAAACAAAACCCUAGGUUUAUUAUUUUCAAUAUGUUCAAAUUUUAGAACCCUAAAUCUACAGUUACUAGUUAAUAUUUUCUCUAUACAUAUACAUUUGACCAUCUCUAUGGUGUACUCUAUGUGUGUGUGUGUGUGUAUAUAUAUAUAAUUAAAAAAAUAUAACAAUUUUUUUCUAUGCAUAAAUUUCUUUACCUCCACAAAUCUUAAAAUACAGCUUCAUUGAUUAUUAUGACUGAUAAGAAAUUAAAAAAAGGGUUUUAUUUCGCCUACUAAAAUUUUGAAGAAAUUAUAAUGGAGUGAAUCUACUUAGCUCAUUUAUGCAGGCUCUGCUCAGGUAAUAUCUUUCUCUUUAUAUUUUUUUAAUGAAUUGUAUACCUGUCAAAUAUGUGUAUCAUCUCUCAAUUGUGAUGAACUUGGUUGAUAUAGAUAUUUUAUGUUAUUGUUUUGGGUUUUAAAAUUCUAUAUGCUUCAUUAUAUUUGGACUGACACUCAGGAACCAUCUAUGCAUUUCUUUUUAUUAUUUAAACUUGUAUGCAUUGAUGUAUUGCAUAUAACACUGACUUGUUGAGUUACUAUUUUGGUUUAAAAUCUUUUGAUAUAAGCUAGAAUAAUGAUAACAUAUAUCUUUAUUGACAUUAGACCAUAUGUGCUCUGUUUAUAAACUACAUCUCCCUGAAAUAUUUAUAUCUUAUGAUUGGACAUCUAGUUCACUCCUUUCCCUUUGGUUACAUCACUAAUACAAGAUCUGAAUGGAACUGAGUUAGUCUAAUCAAUCAUUCCUACUUACCUAAUAUAUCACUACAUUUUUUUAAAAAUAUAUCAUAAACAUUUCUUUGUGUACAAUUACCAAAGUCUGACCAUUCCUACUCAUUGCUAUAAUUUGAUUUUAAACCACUACAGUAAUAAGUAUGACUUACUCUCUUAUCCCUGUGAGCAUUGCUCCAUUUAUAUUUCAGAACUGUGUAUUUUGACAAGUAGGUUGUGACGCCCCCAAAAUAGGUAUACAUUACCUAUUCUGAGUCGUCAAAUACAUGAUACAGAAUACAAAUACAAUCUUAAAUAUACAACAUGAGCUGUGAGUUUUAAUACAAAUAUUAUUUUCUAGACAGUAUUCAAACUCAAAAUAAGUCCUCAAUACAUUUAUUAACACACUAUUUCAUAGAAUAGUGAGGACUACUAAUGCUAUCAUCUGGAUCGUCACUCCGUUCCUCGACUAGUUCUUGCUACGUUCUCAUUUCCUGAAGAGAAUAAUGAAAGUAAAAGGUGAGCUCAACUAGUCCAGUAAAAAAUAUUAUGAUUAAGAUAAUGCAGAAUAAAUUAUCGUUAUCCUUCAACAGUGUUAAACUGAUACAAUAUAACAAACAUCAAGUUUAACUGCAGCGGAAUAAGCAAUCCAUUAGAAGAGUUAAGUAGAGAAUAAAAUCUACUAUCUUCUAUGACUUAAAAUGUUUUUAUCAAUUUCUAUGGCCAAAGAUAUUCAUUAGUAUCAAAACCAUAAAUUAUUCAUACACUACGGGCUAAAGAUAUUCGUGUAUUCAUCAAUGGUCAUGAUCAUGCCAACAACUAUCCAUCAAUGCACUAUGGGCCAAUGAGGACUUUUACAACAUCAUUUGUAACAUUACGGUUAUGAUUAUACCGAAUAAUCCCUGAUUAUAAUCAUACCAAGUCCAUCUAUGCACUAUAUGCCACAGAUGACUUUCAACAUAAUAUAAACAUGAGGAUGAUGACAAUGAUAUAAGAAUUCAAUAAAACAAGUUCAAGAAUUAAUUUAUCCAGGAACUAAUAACAUCCAAAUUGUCAAUAUGAUACCGCUUUAUGGAGUAAAAUUCAAGAAUGCUCAAAAUAAUAUUUUCACGAAAAGAUACUGGAUGAAGCGCAAAUAUCCAGGAUAUUCUACUAAUUUCAUGGAGUAUAAAAUCCAAAACUUUAACCAACUGAGUAUAAUAAAAUAUAUAAAACUGCAAAUGGAUUUUCACCCGCCAUGCGGUCAUCCAAGUAUAUAGAUUAUUUCCACAAUUUAAUAAGGAAUGAAUACAAAUGAUCAUUCACCAUGCAUGUGGUAUUCCACAUAGACAGGUUAUUCCAACAGAAUAAUAGAGAAUGGAAUAACAAAAGAAUUCACCAUGCAUACGAUAGAUCGCACAGACAGUUUAUUCCCAACAGAAUAAUAAAUAAUGGAACCAGGUCAUGCGUAACCGCACAGACAGGAUAUUUCAACAGAAUAAUAAAUAACGAAAUCAGGUCAUACGUAAACGCACAGACAGGAUGUUCCAACAGAAUAAUAAAGAAUGGAAUAACAGAAGAAUUUCACCAUGUAUGCGGUACUUCAAAUAGACAGGUUAUUCCAACAUAAUAAUAAAGAAUGGAAUAACAUAAGAAUUUCACCAUGUAUACGGUACUUCGCAUAGACAGGUUAUUCCAACAUAAUAAUAAAGAAUGGAAUAACAGAAGAAUUUCACCAAGUAUAGGGUAGUUCGCGUAUACAGGUUAUUCCAACAGAAUAAUAAAGAAUGGAAUAACAGUUCUCUUCAUGAAUACAAAAGAAAUAAUACCCCUUAACUUAGAAGAAACUGGAUAUAGGAGUAGUGAAGUAGCAGAAUACUUUUUUUCUUUCUCUCUAUAGUCUCUCUCUCUCUCUCUCUAGAGUUCCAGCUAAUUCGUAAGAAAUAAUGAAGGAAUGAGCUUCUAUUUAUAGGAGAAUGGACUGAAUAGUAACUAAUUCAUGAGCGGUCCAGAUUGAUUUACUUUUAAAUGGACGGUCCAUAUUAAAUUACUAUGCAGUAAUUACUGUAGCAAUAAUUGAACAAAACUGAGUGACUUCUCACGUAAGCAUCAAUAAUCAAAAUCGUGUGCUACUAUGAAACCACGCGUAUUACUGUACUUUUACUAUCGAGUAGUUCAACAGUUUUAACGGUAAAACUUUCGCCGUUAUUUUUAUAAAACUAUUUUUGUCAUUUUCUCAAUCCGACAAUAAUUCCGUUGUGGGGUCCACCAAUGAUUGUAUCGUCAUACGAAUAUUUUCCGACAAAAAGAAUAUUUCCCGACCAAUCGAAUAUUAUACAACAACUUGCAUACUUUUCAAAAUUUAUAAAUAUUACCCACAACUAUAACAUUAUCUCAAAUCUACACCAUAAUAUAAAAAAAAUUCAAGAAAAUUAAAUCUUUAUUCAUAAAAUUUGGGGUCUCACACAGGUCAUAUCAUAUACUUAUGAGUCAUUGUUUAAAUUGAUAGUGUUAGCCAUAUACUUUAUCUAUAAAAUGAAAUUUUACAAACUACCUGCAUAUAUUCCUAAAUUCAUCUUUCUGCAAUCUUUAUGUCUUUUACCUUCUAUCCUUCUGCUUACAUUGCACUUUCCAAAUGAAUCCAUUCUAUUCUUCCAAACUAAAGAAACUUGCAUUACAUAAUGAAUCUCAUUUCGAUAUUUAUGCACCUAUAUUGCUCACUCUUACUACUAAACCUAAAUAUAAUCAUAUGAGACAUAAUCUCAAUCUUGGGGUAGGUACCUCUUUAAUAGCUUUCCUCAAUUUCUUGAAAAAAUAACCAAUAUAGGAUGGGUAUGUCUAAUUAAUUUUCCAAAUAGACAAAUCUUUUCAAGUCUGAUUGCUGAGUUUUAUGCCGAUGUGACUUUUGUUCGAGAUUUAACUAGUCUCUUAACUUGUAUUAACACUUGCAUACAAGGUCAAGAUUAUGUCAUUGAUGAACUGCUUAUUCUACAUGCCUUGUAUCUCAGAAAUUGCAUGAUAGACUUUCCAAAAAUCAAUGAAUACACUUAUCCUAUAGGGGUUUCCACCAGUGACUAUCUCAGUUUUAAACACAAUUUAGUUGUCACUACUGAUCAAAUUGUACCUACAAACUUAUUUGACUAUCCAUGCAAAGUUAGUCUUAACUUUUUCACUGCUGACUGUCAAUUUUUGGGAAAAAUUAUUCGACACAAUUUUAUGACUUCCAGAAAUGACAAAUUCCUACAUCCCUUUGAUAUAGAGCUCAUGAAAUGUGUUUUAACUGAAUGUAUGCCAUACAGUCUACCAUACUUUCUUCUCACUUGUUUUGAGUUCUGCUAUCAUAAAAAUUGUCUAGGUUAUGCUCUUUUGUUAACUUGAAUUUUUAAACAUCUUGGAAUUCAAGUUCAUAAUCAUAAGGCUCAACUGGUUCAGAAUAGCAAUAUUGUCUCACAUUUGAAUCUUCCUCCCAAACCUUUAAUCAUCUUCAAACCAAAUGACACCGAGCAUGUUGAAUCUCAUCUAAAUCUGAUGUCUCAUAUUGAUGCAUUAAAUAGCAUGAAUCAACUUUGUUUGAAAAAUCAAAGUGUUAUAAUAGAUCAAUUAGAGGCUUUACAAUUAUUUGUGCAUCAUCUUCAAGAUAUGUUGAGUGUGUUAAUGGAACAACAAAAGGUCUCCAUUCUUUCUUACCACUUCACAGCUACAACAAGCUUAGCACAGGUUGAUCAAACCCCUCCACAUAUACCUCUUUCAACUCUGGCUUUGCAUUUCUCUGUAAAUUUUUGUGAAAAUCAGAGUAGCAAUCAAAUUGCAAAAUUAGCGAAAGCAAAGUAAAAUCAAAUUUUAAAAUUUUUCACAAACCAAUUACCCGAAUCAUCCUUUAUGGAUAUUAUUAAUUAAAACGAAGAACAAGAAUUUAUGGAAUCAUACCCUUGUAGAUACAAGCUUCCACAGGUACGAGUUCAACUCCUACUUCUCCGCAAUCUCCUUGAAUCUCCGGGUAGAUUUCUUCAUUUGAUCAAUGUUAGCCACCCAAGUGUAUGGCAUCUACAGGUGAUCAAUAUUAAUUUAUAUUUAAUAUUUCUAAAAUAUUAAGCUAUUUAAUUUAUUCUAUCACAAUAGAUUAAAUUAAAUAUACUUAACAUAUUAUUACGAUUAUGCCAUUAACUUCUUAAAUAAUUAUUCUUCCUUUUAUGGUGUGACCCUUUAGGUUCUCUAUAUUAAACCAGUUGUGAAUAAAUCAAUUAGAACAAUUCUAAUCUUAUUUAAAUAAAUAAAUUAAAUUAUUAAUUUAUUUAAAUAAAUAAUAUUUAUUCUACAAUAAGGAUAAGCCUCUCUAGCGAUCAACGACUUUUCAGAUAAUAUAGAUUUCAACAUUAAUCAUAAAAGAACCUUUGAAUAAAUAGUUACCGUACAAUUCAAUCCUUCCACCAUACAAUGUCCCAAUUAAAUAUAAGACAUGGAAUUACUGUCAAGUCUUAUUUUAUUUAAUUAUAUGUAUUUCGAUUCCUAAAUGUACAACUCCGAAUAAAUGCAAAUUAGAAACUACUUUCUAAUUUCAUUUCACCUUGGCCAAGGAUUCUUGAGUUGUUAUUUAUCGAAUCACAUAGGACAUUUCUCUUCUUUUAUUAGAAGUGGUAGAUUCAAUAUUGAUCAUUCAUUAUCUCCAUAUAUAACUUAUUACACCCAAGCAUACCGUUUGAUAUACCCUAAGGGUCUUAAGGAAUAAGUUAAAAUAUAAUUCAUUAUACAUAAGAUACUAUGAUGAUAUCAAGUCUAAGGAUCAUUUGUACUACUAUCACUACAGGAAUUCCUAUUAACGGGCAAGUAAAACUCCAUUAGGUAUUCCUUAGCGAGUCACGUUCAGUGAACUUAUUCUCCAAUAAGCACCUACAUACUUGUUUUAGUGUCUCCACACAAAUGAUCAUGAGAUCAAUCAUUCUUAUCCAAUGAACAAACAACGUAUGUAUCAAUCUAUCUAGAUUCACUAAUCCCCUUUUUAGUAAUUCAUUAAUUGAGAACAUUUUAAUUUUAAGCUAUCUAAGAAUUUAGAUCUCAUUAGCAUGAUCUCAUCAUGAUUCUAAAAGCACUGCUUAAAACUAUGGGUUUAUAACAUAUUAUUAAAACAUCACCAUGUAGAUAAUAAAUGCCUUUAAUAAAUAAUUCUUUUAUUAAUAAAUAAUUAAGAUUGAUUACAAAGUAUAUGAUUUAUCAUCACGCAUGAUUGACUUGUUUGCAUACUACUUUCAUUCUCCCCUGUCUCUUUGGAUGAAAUCUAACUAUUCGGAAGGAUUGUAUCUAUAUAUAUUCACUAACUAUUUGGGAUGAAUGUACCUGUAUACUAACCUAACUACUAAUACUCAGGCUUUAUCUAUUUUGUUUACUUCUUAUUCUGACUCUUCAGGGAAUAUACUUUAUGCUUUAACUAACUGUUGCUACAGGUGAAUGGAAACAGUAUUUCCUUACCCCCCCCUCCCAUUUUUAUAAUGACAAAAGGGGAGAAGAAAAAUAUCAAAUGGCAUGUCUAUAAUAACUGGUAUAUACUUAUGAGAUGGAUAUUUGAAUGUGAUGGAUAUAAACUGCUAUAAAUUGUUAUAUUUUACUUUCAGUUGGUUUUUUCAAAAAAUUGAAAUUUCUUUUCAAAACCGAUUCAUGAUCGAAGGGGGAGCUUCAUGAAUUAAGGGGGAAUUCUAAAAACAAAAAUAUUUUUUCUUAUUGUCAUCGUCAAAAAGGGAGAUAAUGAUAGGUCUCCAAAUCUGGUGGUUUUAUUUUGAUGUGAACAAAUUAGGAAAAUAGGUCAAAUGGGUAGAAUCCUCUCCAUGGGAUUAAAAUAAAUUAGACGGAGCAACAUUCCCAAGCAUUAUGUUGUGAACCAUAUAACUUCUGUUCAUCCUCACUAUUAUUAAAAUCAAGCUAUUGUGAAUAUCUUUGGUCUGUGUGCAAAGAUAAUAUGAUUGGUGAAUGUUUUUGGCCUGCAUGGCAAGGACAUGUGGUAAAUAGUUCUCUUUGAUCGUAGUGCAAAGAUGGACUGUUCAUUGACAUGAUCAUGACCAUUGGUGUUAUAAUUUAAUAUAUUUGGUCUGUAGUGCAAAGUUGAAUUGUUGAUUUACAUGAUUAUGAUUAGGAACUACCGAUUGGUGUUACAGGGAUAAAGUAUUGAUGGUGAACUUUUAAAUUGGGAAAGAUUAUGAGCAUCAUGAUCUAUAUUAUUCUCCUAUUUAAUUGUUAUUUCUGCUGUAGUUGUUGAUUUAGCUAAAACUUGUUGUCUAUUAUAUUCUAUUAGAUUUUUCACUGUUGAAGGCUAAGAAUAAUUUAUUCUUCAUUAUUUUAGUCAUGAUAUUCUUUACUGGGCUAUUUGAGCUCAUCUUUUUCCUUUUUGUUCCAUUGUUCUUCUUAGGAAAUGAGAGUGUAGCUAGGACUAGCCGGGGUGUGGAGUGAUGGUCCAAGAUAGUUACUAUAGUAGUCUUCACCAUGUUGUAAAAUAGUGUGACAAUAAUCAUGUUGAGAACUUAUAACACGUGUUCUCGUAUCUUAUACAACAUUGUAAUAAUUUGGGUGUGGAUAUUGUCUUAAUAUCUACGACAUUGUAAUAAGAGAAUAUAUGGUUGUGGUAUGUAUUUUGGCGAUCCAAAUUGAGUUGUUUGGUCCCUAUUUUGGGGGCGUCAUACUUGGGGUAACUUAGGUGUUUAAAGGCUUGUUGAACAUGCUAAGUGCAAUCAUGUUUCUUACGAAAAAUGGGUUAGUUAUAGUUUUUAUUUUAUUUUUAUUUUACUUGAGGACGAGCAAAAGUUAGGUAUGGGGGUAUUUGAUAGACUCAUAAUUCAUAGAUUUAUUAUUCCUAUUUUUGUCCUUUUAAUUAUAUUAGUUUAUUAAAUUAAUAUAUUUUGUUUUGAUUUGUAGGAUUUAAUAUUUUGUUGUAAUAAAGUCAAAAUCUUGAUGAUCAAAUAAUAUUUAAUGCUCUUAUUCAUGUAAGGAAAUGUCCAAGAAGAAUCUUACAAUGAGAAGGAAGGAGAUGGAACAAUCUUGGUGUGCAAGUCAAAUCUAACACGAGAAAGGAAAGUUCAUCUAGAAGAUAUAUUUGAGAAGUUGAUUGUCACUAUGAAGUUGAAACCUACAUGGAAAAUAAUUGAGCUUUGAUGCCUAUAAAUAGAGAGAUGUUAGGUUUUCUUUUAUGUAUUAGUUUAGGUUAGGAGUAUGAUUAAAUUAUUUUUUCAUUGUACACUCGUUGGAUGAUAGUUAAUAAAGAGAGUUUUCUUGUUUAUUUUUAAUCUUCUACUUCUUUUUCUUUAUCUUACUUAGUUUAUUUAUUUUUCAUGUCUAAUUAAUUUCUUUAAUCUAGGACGAAGAUGAAAUUAAAUAAUUAUUCAUGCUAGUAUUCUCCAUCUCUUCUAUUAUUUAUGUUUUUUAUGUUUAAUUGAUUUCGUCUUUAUGUUUCGUUAUUGAAAUACAUUCAUUUUAUAAUUCUUAUGUGAUUUUAAAUUAAUU
rnacentral:lncRNA from 1 species